rnacentral:rRNA from 1 species
UACGAAGGGGGCUAGCGUUGCUCGGAAUCACUGGACGUAAAGGGUGCGUAGGCGGGUCUUUAAGUCAGGGGUGAAAUCCUGGAGCUCAACUCCAGAACUGCCUUUGAUACUGAAGAUCUUGAGUUCGGGAGAGGUGAGUGGAACUGCGAGUGUAGAGGUGAAAUUCGUAGAUAUUCGCAAGAACACCAGUGGCGAAGGCGGCUCACUGGCCCGAUACUGACGCUGAGGAGCGAAAGCGUGGGGAGCGAACAGG